GCUAGCGUGAGUCUGAACUUCUGGUUGACACAAAAAAGAAGAAGGCCCAUUUUAAUACAAUGUUUAAGGCCAUUUUACAAAACCCAACCCGUUAGUUAUAUUAAAAAUUAGGUCAGAUAUCUUCUUCUUCCCAGCGUCGCCUUCUCCUUCCUUUCUGUCUUGAUCUCUCUCUCUCUCCGUCUUUCUUCCUAACAAGCAGCGGAUCUUGCGCGCUUCAACCGCCCUUCGUCCACGCCUCAACGGCAAAACGCCCGCCCAGAGCCGCCUAGGCCGCCUAGAGCUUCCUAGGGCCGCCUAGAGCCGCCUAGGCGGGGGUCCAGGCGCCGCCGAACUCCCUGGCUCCUACCCUUAACGAUUAGGGUGAAAUUGCGGCGGUGUCCUCCUGCCUAGCGCCUGGGCGCCGCCUAGGCCGAAUUUUCGAACCUAUUUAAGAUUGCAGUUUUUUAGUGGAAAUAAAUACAUAUUCACUCAUCUGUAGAUUAUAUUCCCUACGUGUAUAGGUAAUGACAGAUUUGUAUAUAUAGAGUUGCUUUGUGGUCGACUGAUGAUGCAGAGUCCAAGGUGACCCUCCACCUUCUUGAUCCGUUCACCAUUGCCACUUUUGAAUUCAUUAGGAUACUUUUUUGGUGAAGGUCUGUCCUUAAUAUCCCCUCAAUGGCUACCACCAACAGCGCUAGCGUGAGUUUGAACCUUCUGAUUGACCCAAAAACCCACAAAGUUAUGUUUGCUGAAGCAAGCAAGGAAGUUGUUGAUUUCCUUUUCAGUUUUCUGUCUUUGCAUGUUGCAACUGUUACUAGGCUCCUCUCAACUGAUGGUAUGGUUGGUUGCUUAGGCAACCUUUACCGGAGUGCCGAAAGCCUAGUGUCAACUCCUACUUGCCACUCAGUCUUAAGGACACCCCUCUCAAACCCAAAACAAAAAUUUCAGCGGCCAAUAUCCUUUAACUGCCAUUGCCGACCAACAAUGACUAGAAUCUUUCUAAAUUGUUCUACAUUUGUGAGGUGCAGUAACCGUAUUUCUGAGAGCUAUGGAAUCCCUUGUCCACAGUGCAGAUCAUGUAACAUUUCCACCCCGGUGUCUUAUGUUUCUCCAUCUGCUCCUACUCCAGCAAUAUUAAGGCAGGCUAUGUCAAGGGUGGUGUUGUUUACAUGAUAAUGGAUAGUUUGGAAGUGAAGCCAAUGACCACCGAAUCAAGUGUUGCAGUACUUCAAAAGUUCAAUGUGAAGGGGAUUGAUGCACUUCAAGAUAAGGAGGGUUUGAAGUUGGUGAAGGCAUCAUCGGAGUCAAAUACCGCUCUUACCAAUGUCUUCCUUUGAAAGAAACAGCACAAACUUUUCAACUUUUGGUCCUCUAACGACAUUGAGCUUUUGGGGUUUCAUUUUGGUUUGUGGAUUGGGAUUUCUGUUCUAUUACUUUGGAUCAUGUAAACUUCGGUCCAUUGAUUCUAUUGGUUUCAUUCAUUAUAUCUCAAGAAAACUCAUCCACCA